UCACGACUACGAUUUUCAAAUUGAUAAAAAUAAAUAAUGUCAAAGUUAUUUCAAUAGUAAAACAGGAAAUCCAAAGCUAUUCUGUAUUUCAAACUUCAGUGUAAAAUUUAAUUGAGUUGAAGUUUAUUCGUUAAUAUCUCUUCCAACUCUAAUUCUCUCUAUAAAAAUUUUUAGAAAAUUGUUUGAGCAUCCAUUUUAGUUUAUCCUGUACGGAUUUAUCAGGUGUUCAUAUUGCCCAAUAAAACAAUAUUCAAUAAUUUUUGGAGUGUCCAUUCACGACAAUCAACGAAUUAAAUUAUUUAUCAUUAUUCAAUGACAAAAUCAAGAGGAGACCGUACUACAUAUGAAAGAGAAAGCACGUGAGGAGGUGAUGAUGAGGUAUGAAAGAUUAGCGUCUUUCCCCGAUGAUAUUUCUCAACUUUUGUACGAAUUGAUGAUAGAUUAGAUAAAUAUCACAACUGAUACAUAGGCGUUAAGCGAAUGUCAAUAUUUGACAUUGUUUCCUGCUUGAACUAGUAAAAAAGAUGUUGAGAGAAAAAAAUAUGACCUCCAGAAGGUCCAAUUAGUGACAGGCUUCGACAUCGAUGUUGCGUGAUUCCUUUAGCGAUUUUUUUUAUAUUGUUUGAAUAUUCCCUUGGGCUCUCGUGUGAGCCUGUUGGACGAACAAUAACGUUGGGUUUUCGGUAACUUCACGAGUGGUUAAGAUUAUUGCAACCGCAGUGUGUACAAUUUUUCAAGGUUAAGUGAUGUGAAUUAUCAGGGGAGUGAAGCUGAAAAAAAAUAAAAAAAGCAAACAUUUUUCUUCACCUUAGAAUUCAUUUUUCAUAUUACUAUCAGCAAAUGCCUAAUCGCAUUCGUUACUUGCUGUAGUCAGAAAAAUUAAUAACUGAUGAGUAUAGAUUAAACAUUAAGAGAUCCAUUCGCUUAUUCUAGUUAAAUAAUUACUGAUAAAUUACGUAGAGUAUAACUCAAUCAAUUUUGUUUUUAGAAUAUUUUCAGUUUUCAGAUGACUCUCUCUUACUCCAAAUUUCGGAUACUCAAUCAUGACAACAUACCUGAGGUUAUAGUCAAUAUCUUCAGAAUUUACACUAUCCGGUAGUAUAAAUUUAACGAUUUGUUCACGGCCAUAUCACUCGUUGUGCACGGUCGCAGCGAUUAUCGGUAUUUUUUAUUUCAUUAGUUUAUCGUGGGUAAUAAUCUACAGUACUCGCUGCAGUGGACGAAAAAUAAUGAGAAGACGGUUAAAAUCAGGCGGCAGGUUCCUCCACUUCUCGCUGAUAAUCACCAACACAUUUUUGUUUUAAUGAGUUUAUCUCUUUUUCUCACUUUCACUCGAACGAAUUUCAAUCAGAAAAUUUGUGGAUGUGCCGUUCACCCAACUACUGCGGAUAUCGAAUUGCGAUCUCGUUCGUGAUGGAAACGUGGGAGUGCACUACUGCCUCUAAAUACUGGAAAUCUCGGAUCACAUGAGUCAUCCUUGUCGAACGUCAGGGGCGGUCAGGGCCGUAAGACCGAGGGAGGUAAAAGAAAGAGUCGUGCCCACGUGCAGAAUCAGCCAAUCGUCCAUACGAAUUCCAUCGAAUGGCAUCGGUGAGGUACAUCGCUUGUACUUAUAGUCCUCGCCACAAAAGAAUUAAUGACUUGUGUUCACUUUGACCGUUACACAGUAAAAAAAUAUCAACUUUUGUGGAAAAAGAAUCUAUCCAGUGACUUAUGGUGACUUAUGGCAUAGAAAAAUGUGAAAUUAAUAUAAGAUCAUCAUCAAAAUUGUGUGGCGAGAAUCAUUACUAAACUUUGGGCAAAUUGCAGCAAGUAGAAUUCAGAUUUUAUUAAGUUUAUAAUAGUUGAACAGAUUACACAUUUUUUUACUGCUCUUCAUGAAUCAUCCAUUGCUAGGCACAUUUUAUUAUGUACAAGGUAAUGAGGGUAAAUAUAUUAUUAAGAGCUCUCAAAUUUUAGAAAAUUAAAGGUCUCAAAAAUUAAUUGAAGGCUUCCAAUUAUUGUCUGUUUGUUAUAUUUAUCUUCAUCAUCUAUCCACCGUCAGAGACUUUUCUACUGUACGAUCACGAUUUAUAUCUAUCGAGCUCCCAAUUCUCUCGGAGUUGAAACAUUAAAAUUUAUCGAAAAUAUUGGAAAUAAAAAUAAGAAAGUUUUAAAUGUGUGUAAAAAUUAAUUUUUUCUCCCCCCAGAAGUUUUCUCCAUAUUUUGAUAUAAACCCGCCAGUUUUAGGAAUAACUGUCUCCUGUUUCCCGAUAAUCUUUCAUACCAAUACUAUGCUUUAAAAGAGCUUCAUAUUUUUGAGAACUGAAGAGUAUUCAAUACUGUUGUGAAAUAAUGAAAAGUAGUAUUAAAUUUUUGUAAUUAUAAUUGUAUGUUCCAUCGAAUGCCCAUUUUUGUCAUUCUAACAAGAAAUGUUGAACAAUCAAAUUGGGUUUAGCCGAGCCUCUUAUGAGAGAAUAAAUAAUUGCUAUCCUGUC